AAAAAAAAGGUAAUGUGUGUGUGUGUAUAUAUAUAUAUAGGAGGUGGAGGAUUGUUGGUUUUGAUAAGAUUGUUACGUCUAAGCAAUGGAGGAAAAUGCUGGUUUGAGUUCUCUUGGAGGUUCUUGUUGGUUUGGAGUGGAUUUGAAAACCUUUGAAAUCUUGCUGGAGAUAGUAAAAGGUAAGGAGGUGGGGAAGAUUGUGGAGAGGGGUAGAGGAUUUUCCUCUUGGAUUAGGUUCGGUGAGAGAAGUCUUGUUGGGCUUCUAGAGGGGGUGGAAGAUUGCUAUAAUGGGAAGUUUGGUGAUUCUUUUAGAAGGGCGUGGAAGGAAGGAGGAAGGGUCUACAAACUAGAGUUGUGCAACAAUAAAGUGGGAGGAUUUCUGCUUUGCUUAGCUUUGAACGUAGAGGAGAAAAGAUUCUCCUUAGUUUUUCUAGAAGGUAGAGAGUUCCUAAGGGGGUUGGAAGAUCCUUGCAUCCAAAGCUUAGGAGCAUCAAGAUUGCUUUUGAGUCAAGGUCUUUGAAAGCUUGUAAGGAGUUUAUCAGGUUUCGGGAGAAAAAAGAAAAAAAAGGAGGAUGUGCUAUUUUAAACUGGGCUUCUUUUGCAAAGGUGUUGAACGGAUGUAAGGGGGAGAUAGGUGAGGCAGUGUGGAUUGAGAGCAAGAAAAAGGAGGUUCUGAGCAAUUUAGAGUCCCUUAAGAAGUGUCUGGUGGGGAGAUGAGAUGCUCCUUCGAGUUGUCUGCUGGUUUUAGAAUUGUUGUAUUCUUGGGCUAGGCAUGCUUAGGGGUUGAAAUGGGAGUUAGAUCUCUAUUUAUUGAGAGAAUCUCUUAUUUUAUUUGAGUUUGAAGAUUUUUCUGAAGUUGAAAGGGUCUUGCUUUUGGGGCCUAUCCUGGUUAAGUGAAGAAAAAUGAAGAUGGAGCAGUGGGGGCUAGAGGUUGGUUGUUUCAGAGGAGAUGCCAGCGUCGGUGAAGCGUGGGUGAGGGUUUUGGGACUGUUGGUGCAUUUGUGGGGAAAAGCCUUUUUCAAGAUGCUGAGCGAUGCUUGUGGAGGGUUCAUUGUAGUGGACAUGGAUACAGAUGAGAGGUGUCGGGUGUUGAGUCUGGCCUUUCUGCGCGUGUUUCAGGGGUGUUGGUUGUUUUCAAACAAGGUCAAAAGCCCAAUGGGUGGGCUUAUCAGGUCCCCUAGUGGGCUGGUGGGUCACUCACUUCUAAAAAGAUUAGUUGCUGAAGAGGGCCUUGGCAUCUUCUUGGGCCAGCCCAUUGUGGGUGGUUUUGGCUCGUCUAGAGGUUGCCUUGGUGGGUUGAGUCUUUUAAGCGUACCAGUGGGGUGGCCCGAAGAUCUGUCCUCUACCUCUUUGGAAAAUAUGGGUAAAAAGUCCCAAGUGGUCUCUUCAAGUGAUUCUGGAGGUGGGAGUAUUGCUAAUCCUUUGGAGUUCUUUUUUGAUACCCUUCUAAAGGCGUAUCUCAAGGUCCAGAGGUGAGGGUCUUGGGAGUCAGUGAAGCCUUGAUAGAAGUAGCUACUGGUUUUGAAGGUAGGCUUUCAUCGUCCCCUUUUUCUCCUCCUUACUCUCCAGUUGGUUCGCCCAUUUGCGGUAAUGGAACUGCUCACUUAUCUAAGGCUGAGUCCUCCUUAUGUUCGGGUUCUCAGCAUUUAAGGAUGUUGUUCCAAGAUGGAAGGUUGUUGGACCUAAUGGUAGGUAUAGAAAAGGGUCUUUCGGGAAGGGAUUUGGUGCUUAAGGCUGAGGAUGUGGAUGAUUUUAGGGUCUUGGAGGCUAGUAGUGAUUUGGUGGGGGAGAUGAUAUUUUCCGAAAGCCUUCCCUUUAAGUUUGCUAAGUUUUGUAAUUUUUUGAGGAUGCUACUGGCGGGAUUCAAGAAGGAAAUUACCUCCCUUUUCAGGAAAAUGGGGGCUAGAAAAGGGUGUGGAGUAAAAAUCUUAGGGGGGAAAGAGCAAAACAUUCUCGUCAUCCCAUGUUGAGAAGGAAAUUCGUAAAUUGGAAUGCUUAGUUAAUUAUAGUAGCUCUCCUCUUUUGGUCAGGGGAAGGGGUAGGAGCAGUGAGAUUUAAUCUCUCUUGUUGUGUGGAUGCUUUUCUUUCUGUAGUUGUGCUUUUGGUUUUUAGGGAAGUGCUCAUGGGUGUUUUCGCUUUGUUAAUGGUUUUUUAGGGUGUAGGAUUUUGUUUGUUGUGGGAGUGGAUGGUUUUUGCAUUUCUUUUUUUUCUUGCUAGCCUGCUGGCCUUUAUCGUAUACUUUGUGUGUACUUUGUCGCACCAUGUUGGCUUUUAAUAUAUUCUUUCUAUUUACUUA